GGCGCGCGGCCACUAGGGGUUAGGCUUGAGGGCCCAGACAAGCUGCGCGUGGGUGAGCGGGGGCUACGGGUGGGCCCAGCGCUGGAGGUGACCUCGGAAGGAAGUUCGAGCGCCCCUGAGCGGAGCGAUCUCCCUUCCGCGGCGGCGGAGUGGUUAAAGUAAACAAUGGCCAGUAAUCACAAACCUUCAGCAGCUCGCCCUGUGUCACGAGGUGGAAUUGGGUUGACAGGAAGGCCUCCUUCUGGAGUACGACCCCCAUCAGGAAAUAUUCGAGUGGCGACUGGAAUGCCACCUGGAACAGCAAGACCAGGCUCUCGUAGUGGUCCCAUAGGAACAGGAGGAGUUCUGUCUUCUCAAAUCAAAGUUGCUGAUCGUCCUGUAACACAGCAAGGUUUGAGUGGAAUGAAAACUGGGAUGAAAGGUCCCCAGAGGCAAAUAUUAGACAAAUCUUACUAUCUUGGGCUUCUUCGAAGUAAAAUAAGUGAACUUACAACAGAAAUUAAUAAACUUCAGAAAGAAAUAGAAAUGUACAAUCAAGAGAAUUCAGUAUAUUUGUCAUAUGAAAAGAGAGCUGAGACUUUAGCUGUUGAAAUCAAAGAGUUCCAAGGACAACUAGCAGACUACAACAUGUUGGUAGAUAAACUUAAUACCAAUACUGAAAUGGAAGAAGUAAUGAAUGAUUACAACAUGCUUAAAGCUCAAAAUGAUCGAGAAACACAAAGUAUGGAUAUCAUAUUUACUGAAAGACAAGCGAAGGAAAAACAAAUUAGAAGUGUAGAAGAAGAAAUUGAACAGGAAAAACAAGCAGCAGAUGGCAUUAUCAAAAAUAUGUCUCCUGAAAAGCAAGUCAAAUACAUGGAAAUGAAAACAACAAAUGAAAAAUUGUUGCAGGAACUAGAUACACUUCAGCAACAACUAGAUUCACUGAACAUGAAAAAAGAGAGUCUGGAAGCUGAAAUAGCACACUCCCAGGUAAAACAGGAGGCUGUAUUGCUGCAUGAAAAGCUUUAUGAGUUGGAGUCCCAUCGAGAUCAAAUGAUUGCGGAAGACAAAAGCAUGGGAUCUCCGAUGGAAGAGAGAGAGAGAUUACUUAAGCAGGUUAAAGAAGAUAAUCAGGAAAUAGCCAGCAUGGAGCGACAGUUAACAGAUAUAAGAGAAAAAAUAAAUCAAUUUCAUGAAGAAAUUAGACAACUUGACAUGGAUUUAGAAGAACACCAAGGUGAAAUGAAUCAGAAGUACAAAGAGCUCAAAAAAAGGGAGGAAAGUAUGGACACUUUUAUUGAGACUUUUGAGGAAACUAAGAAUCAGGAGCUGGAACGGAAGGCACAGUUAGAGGCCCACAUUGUCGCCCUUCUGGAGCACUGUAGUCGAAAUAUAAAUCGUAUGAAACAGAUAUCCUCUAUCACCAAUCAAGAGCUGAAGAUGAUGCAGGAUGAUCUCAAUUUUAAAUCUACUGAAAUGCAGAAAUCACAAAGUACAGCUAGGAAUUUGACUUCAGAUAGUCAGCGUCUACAGUUGGAUCUACAGAAAAUGGAACUUCUGGAAAGUAAGAUGACUGAGGAACAACAUUCUCUGAAAAGCAAAAUUAAGCAAAUGACAACUGAUCUGGAGACAUAUAAUGAUUUGCCAGCUUUAAAAUCAUCAGGUGAAGAAAAGAAAAAGAAAUUACAUCAGGAGAGAACAGUAUUAUUGACCCGCAGAAAUGCCUUUAAGAAAUUAAUGGAGAAGCUAAACGUAGAAUAUGAGGCACUAAAAACACAAUUGCAGGAAAAUGAGACGCAUUCUCAGCUUACAAAUUUGGAGAGGAAGUGGCAACACCAUGAGCAAAAUAAUUUUGUGAUGAAAGAAUUCAUAGCAACCAAGAGUCAAGAGAGUGAUUACCGGCCAAUUAUGAAGAAUGUGACCAAGCAGAUUGCAGAGUACAAUAAAACCAUUGUGGAAGCUCUGCGUAGCAUGAGCAGAACCUGAGUCUGAACCAACUGCAAGUUGCUGUAGCAGUAUCCUCUUGCUGCUAAACUUUGUACAGACUGCAAAAAAAUGGCUUACGCUUGAAGAGUUUACUUACAGUUUUUGAAUGCUAUAAUUUUUGUGGCCUCUGAUGAGCGAUGUUUUAAAUAAUAUAAUAGUUCAAUAAAUAGUUUGCCUUUUAAAAAGCAUCAUCUCCUUUUAUAUUUGUAGUUAUUUUAUGUGGGUGAUAAAAAUGUCUCAAAGAACUGAGAGAUAAACAAAGUAAAAGUGGCCAUUGAGAUUCAUUUAGUUGGUAUAAUCCGUCUGUGGCAGCACAUGAGCUCAUCUUUCCAGGUGUCAGCUCUAGAAGGGGUGCAGGGUGUGUGAUUUUGAUUUAGCACUUAUAUCAACCUUGUCAAUUUCUGUGUCUAGAAAAGGUAAGAAUAGAAUGAAGAUGGUUAGCUUUGAGCUUUGCUUCUCAAAUAGGGCACAUUUGAUGUGUUUCAAGGUAUAUAAAGUCACAGGUGAAAUAUAACAUGUAUUCUUUAUAUAUCAGUUGUCCCUAAAAAAUUGGAAUUAAAAACUUUUAACCUUUGCAUUUUUAAAAUAGUUUAUCACAUGUAUAUUCUAGGAAAAACAUGAAGUUGAGAAGAAUUGCUUCACUUGUGGUGGGCUCUUUUGGACUCUGGCUGCUGCUGUUCAUUUCCACCCUGGAGUAUGCAUUCACUGUUUUAAACCGUAGGAGGACUUAAGUAAAUUAAUUUAGAAGCAUUGGCAGAACAUUUGAAAGGAAAAUCUAGAAGAGGUAGAAUUAUUUGGUAUGAAUCUGGGAGACAUUAUAGUAACUAAAGAUAUAUCCUCUCUGUGGGCAGAAGUCACCUUGGCCAGCAUAAAAUAUUCCUUGAAACUAUCCUUCUUUUGCUCUGAUCUCAUGGUCCUCAAGUUGAUCUGCUUCUUAGUAUUCCCGAAACACAGCAUAUUGGUUUCUCCUAAAAAAAAAAAAAAAAAGGCUUUAUGGUGAUAUAACUUACAUACUAUAAAAUUACCUAUGCAUGUUGCUUUCUUGAAGUAAAUAUUUAUCACUAAAUUAUUCAGCUUUCAUCUAUGUGAGUUUAGUAGAGGAUGAGCAUUGUUGAGUUUGGUUAACUCUGGAUUACUAAUAUGGGUGAAGAUCCUGGACAGUGAUACAGUCAUUAAGGUGGCAUUCCUAAAAUGUGUUCCACAGAUCCUGAGUUCCUCAGGUUAUUAAUAGGUGUUAUACCACCGAAGGAGUCAUGGUCCAAGGAGUUUGGGAAACAUUCUUUGAAACAAAGUUAAAUUGUUUUUUUUCUUCUUGACUGCUCAGAGCCAUUAAUAUGCUAAUGUGCAAUAAGCUCAAGAAGAGUAUGUAUUAUUAAUAAUAAGGGUUUUUCCUGAGUGGUGGGAUUGUGGGUCUUUUAAUCUUCCUUGAACUUUGUGCUACUUUCAAACUUAUCUAUGGUGUAUAUAUAAUACUUGGAAACACAACAUAAGUUCAAAUAAAGUCCCAUGCACAGUUAGUGCUUUAACUUGUGGUAGGGAGAUAAUGAUAGUAAGAUGUCGCUGCAGUCGCCCACCUGGAACGGGACCAGUCUUCACCCAGGAAGAAAGUGGGAGGAAGAUUGGCCUCUCCAUUAAAUAUAUGUGUUUGCAUUAUAACAACAGGAAGUUUGGCAGAAAAAACCCUGAAAAUUUCUUGAAAAAAAGCAAAAUUUCCAACUUCCGUUCUAAAUUACUCAUAUAUGAUAUUUGGGGAACAUAAUUGGGCAGGAUUUCUUUAAACUAAAAUGUGUUAUCUGAGGGAAAUUCUCACUAAUGUCUCUUCCUUCCUCUCAGAGCUUUUCAACAAAUCCAACAAGAAUACUUGCUCUGCUGGGAUAGAAGUGGAGGCUACUAUCUGGACGAGCCGGCUCUUCCUCAGUCAGUCCCAUUGCUCACUCUGGGUUUGGACAAGCCGUAGGCCUGGUCUUCAUCAGGUUUCCACUGAACUGAAGAGAAGCGGGAGAAGGUGCAGACCAGGCAUGCCUUCCAGCGUGGGAGUGACUAAGAAGUACUGUAUCUCUUAAGUCUAAAUCUUCAAAGAGGGUAAUGAUUAGAGGAUCAUUUCAGCUUUCAAGCCAAGGAAAUGCACACACCUAAUGCCUAACUGUCACAGAGAUGAUUCACAACUUGUUUUCGUGACUGGAGGGGAAGAAAAAUCCUUAGGAUUAGAAUAAACAAACGUAUGUACAAACAGUUGUACAUGAUCUGCCAAAACUCCAAGUGGUUCUUCUUGUAAUUUGGAGAGUUUUUGAGAAGGGUGCCCUGGAAAUCCAAAGCAUAUGCAGCAGCAAUUCAAAUUCAACACACACCAAACAGAAUUAUCUUCUUCCCUAACCUGUUCCUCUGCUUUUGACUCCAUUUCUGUAUUUUUGACUCCAUUUCUGUAUGACGGAGUCUGUUAGCUGUGUUCUGUUUAUAUUUUGUAUUCUGUUGUUCUCUGUAUUUUCAGAAAAGUCAGAACAGAAAACCCCACUGAAUUAACUCUUUAAUGAAUACUUAUAACAUAACCUCUCCAGACUUCAGUUCUUCAUUUGUAAAUGAGACGUCAAGCCACGUAGGUAGAGUGAAUAUAGAACUCGGAAACCAGAGAUGUCUGUUCACGCCCCAACUCUGUGACUUACCAGCCUCAAGAGACCUUGCAUAUUUCCAUGCACUCCACUGGAUUUCUGAGCCUGCCAUAUUGACAACCAGGCUAGCUUGCUGGAGGAUGAGAGAUCUGUGGCUCCUUCAACCCUGUUGCCACACAGACAGUCAGCCCAUCUCUGAAGCUGAACUAGAGAAUGAUUGACAUUCAACUGCAGACACAUGAGGGAGGCCAGCUGAGCUCAGAACUGUCCAGCUACUGUUGCGUACUGCGGGUUCACAAAAAAACUCAUGACAGUCCUUAAGAUGCCAGAUGUGAUUGUUCUGGAAGUUCAGUGCCCACAGCCACACGAAAGGCAGAAGGCCAAGACUGCGCUGCGCGAAGUCAACACCCUGAUCUUUUGGCUCACCUCCUGUGGGCUGAGGUGCACUGGAUUCUGUGCCUUAUUUGCCAGUGGGUGUUUUAAGACACAUCCUGCCCUGGGUCAGCCGUCU